rnacentral:rRNA from 1 species
UACGAAGGGGGCUAGCGUUGCUCGGAAUCACUGGGCGUAAAGCGCACGUAGGCGGCUUCUUAAGUCAGGGGUGAAAUCCUGGAGCUCAACUCCAGAACUGCCUUUGAUACUGGGGAGCUUGAGUCCGGGAGAGGUGAGUGGAACUGCGAGUGUAGAGGUGAAAUUCGUAGAUAUUCGCAAGAACACCAGUGGCGAAGGCGGCUCACUGGCCCGGUACUGACGCUGAGGUGCGAAAGCGUGGGGAGCAAACAGG